UACGUAGGGUGCGAGCGUUAAUCGGAAUUACUGGGCGUAAAGCGUGCGCAGGCGGUGACCCAAGUCAGAUGUGAAAUCCCCGGGCUUAACCUGGGAACUGCAUUUGGAACUAGGUCGCUAGAGUAUGGCAGAGGGGGGUAGAAUUCCACGUGUAGCAGUGAAAUGCGUAGAUAUGUGGAGGAACACCAAUGGCGAAGGCAGCCCCUGGGAUAACACUGACGCUCAUGUACGAAAGCGUGGGUAGCAAACAGGAUUAGAAACCCGGGUAGU
rnacentral:rRNA from 1 species